ensembl:lncRNA
GUGCACUUUUGUUCUCUUGUCUGGACUUGCUGAUCUAAAGCUACCGCUAACGCAGAUUUUUCCUUUGCAUACCUUUAGAUAUAGAGUGAGACAGAGAGAGAGAGAGAGAGAGAGAGGGAGGGAGGGAGGGACAAAAAGAUAGAUAGAUAGAUAGAUAGAUAGAUAGAUAGAUAGAUAGAGAGACAUUGAGAAAGUUAGAAAAAUGAAAGAAGUAAAGAGAGGAUGGAGAAAAGAAGAGAGAGAGAGAGGCAGACUGAAGGGAAGGAAAGAGAAACUGGAAGAAGACCGAGAUAGAGAGAGAUAGAAACAGACUAAGAAAGGGUGUGAGAGUGAUCGAAAGAGAGAGGGAAAGAAGGAGGUAGAAAGAAGGGAUGAUGUAAGAAAGAAAGAGAGAAGAUGAAGUACAAAGAGAGAAAAGAAGUGAGAUAAAAAGGCAGAUUAAAAUACAGAGUGAAUAAAAAAAGAUGAGCUGCGGUUGAUGAGUCUGUCUCUGAAGUAAGACAAAGGAGUAGAGAGAUAAAGAAAUGGAGAGAGGUAAAUAAUUAAGCUAAUCAGUUAAUCACGGGGAUCGAUGAGGAUUGACACACAGGAACCUUUAGGGGUGUUGAAGUGAGCAAUCUGCCAAAAAGGCAAGUGCAGCAGUGUGUGUGGGGGAGAGUGGUGGCACCUUGCAACAGCUGGUCUCAAUUAACUACCCUAGGGGCAGGUCAGUGUGUGUGUGUGUGUGUGUGUGUGUGUGUGUGUGUGUGUGUCUGAGACCGCUGGCGCCAGCAGAGGAGCAACAGGUCAGAGAGGAUGAAGAUUAUAAAAAUACUGGCAGGCAGUUGGCCUCAGUGCUGAGUGUGUGUGAGAGCAAGUGUGUGUGUGUGUGUGUGUGUGUGUGUGUGUGUGUGUGUGUGGGAGGGAGACACUUGCUCAAUGAGACAGACUUAGAGAAUGUAUACACUUCUGACAGGCUCUCAUUGCUGAAUCAGUGCAACAUGGCGCCCUAAAACAGUCGACUUCCUGUGAAAAGGUCGCCACGUUCCUGUUUGUUCCCGUCUCUUAGGUUCUGAUCCGUAGACACAUUUCACCCAUUUUUAUUUACAUUCCACUGCCUGCCUAUGAAAAUAUUAGGAUGAAGAGAAUUUGGUUUACAAAAAAGAAAACGUCCGGGUGGUCGACCACGACGAUACGUUCCUCCAAAGUAACGAAUCUUUCAUUUUUAUAUGAAGUCCACUUUAUUUCCUUAAACAUUUUGAAACAUACCUGGCUAAAACAUGUUUAGAUGAAAUGUACUUAAGGAUAAAACUGGACAAGAACUCGUUGGACGAGAACUGUUUCUGUGGGCGUAAACAUACUCUAAAAAGUGAUUAUGGCCGUACACAGCUUUUAUACAUGGAUAAUAAUUGAGAUAAUGUCCAUGUUACUACAAUAAAUAAAGUUUUUAAUUGUACAUAUUUCUAUUUAAUGAGUUUAACAUCAACCUGCCAUUAUUUACCUAUUUACUGUUUGUUGAACUUAUAUAUUUUACUAUAUUGUAAGCUCAACAAACACCUAGCGACUAUAAAUAUUGAAAAAAAAAAAAAGCAAAAAAGUCCAAAUAUACUAGGGUAAAAUUUAAGUAGAACAUACUUAGCUGAAAAUUCACUAGCUAAAAACAUGCUAACGUACCUAGUUAAAUUGUACUAGGUGAAAAAUAUGUAGCUGAAUUUUUUUUUUUAAACAUAUUUGGCUAUUUACUGUUUGUUGAACUUACAUAUUUCACCACAGUGGAUAUUCGGCCAUUAAUUUAAAUACAUUGAUCUAUGAUUUAUUAUUCUUUUAAUAGAACAUUAUAUUAAAAUGUACUUGGCUAUAGAAUGUUUGGGAGGAAUUUACUUACAGCUAUAACUGGACAAGAACUCGUAGCGACACCUAGUGACUAGGUCUGAGUAGGAAGCAAAAAUAUAUAUAUUUUUUAAAAAUACACACACACACACACACACACACACACACACACAG